ensembl:miRNA MIR124-3 microRNA 124-3
GAGGGCCCCUCUGCGUGUUCACAGCGGACCUUGAUUUAAUGUCUAUACAAUUAAGGCACGCGGUGAAUGCCAAGAGAGGCGCCUCC